rnacentral:rRNA from 1 species
UACAGAGGUCUCAAGCGUUGUUCGGAUUCAUUGGGCGUAAAGGGUGCGUAGGCGGCGCGGUAAGUCGGGUGUGAAAUCUUGGAGCUUAACUCCGAAACUGCAUUCGAUACUGCCGUGCUAGAGGACUGGAGAGGAGACUGGAAUUUACGGUGUAGCGGUGAAAUGCGUAGAUAUCGGGAGGAACACCUGUGGCGAAAGCGGCGCACUGGACCAUAACUGACGCUGAGGCGCGAAAGCUAGGGGAGCAAACAGG